UACGAAGGGGGCUAGCGUUGCUCGGAAUCACUGGGCGUAAAGCGCACGUAGGCGGCUUUUUAAGUCAGGGGUGAAAUCCCAGAGCUCAACUCUGGAACUGCCUUUGAUACUGGGUAUCUUGAGUAUGGAAGAGGUAAGUGGAAUUCCGAGUGUAGAGGUGAAAUUCGUAGAUAUUCGGAGGAACACCAGUGGCGAAGGCGGCUUACUGGUCCAUUACUGACGCUGAGGUGCGAAAGCGUGGGGAGCAAACAGG
rnacentral:rRNA from 1 species